AGUGAACGCUGGCGGUAGGCCUAACACAUGCAAGUCGAACGGCAGCACAGUAAGAGCUUGCUCUUACGGGUGGCGAGUGGCGGACGGGUGACGAAUACAUCGGAAUCUACUUUUUCGUGGGGGAUAACGUAGGGAAACUUACGCUAAUACCGCAUACGACCUACGGGUGAAAGCAGGGGAUCUUCGGACCUUGCGCGAUUGAAUGAGCCGAUGUCGGAUUAGCUAGUUGGCGGGGUAAAGGCCCACCAAGGCGACGAUCCGUAGCUGGUCUGAGAGGAUGAUCAGCCACACUGGAACUGAGACACGGUCCAGACUCCGACGGGAGGCAGCAGUGGGGAAUAUUGGACAAGGGGCGCAAGCCUGAUCCAGCCAUACCGCGUGGGUGAAGAAGGCCUUCGGGUUGUAAAGCCCUUUUGUUGGGAAAGAAAAGCAGCAGGUUAAUACCCCGCUGUUCUGACGGUACCCAAAGAAUAAGCACCGGCUAACUUCGU
rnacentral:rRNA from 1 species